GAUGAACGCUGGCGGCGUGCCUAAUACAUGCAAGUCGAGCGAACGGACGAGAAGCUUGCUUCUCUGAUGUUAGCGGCGGACGGGUGAGUAACACGUGUAUAACCUACCUAUAAGACUGGGAUAACUUCGGGAAACCGGAGCUAAUACCGGAUAAUAUUUUGAACCGCAUGGUUCAAAAGUAAAAGACGGUCUUGCUGUCACUUAUAGAUGGAUCCGCGCUGCAUUAGCUAGUUGGUAAGGUAACGGCUUACCAAGGCAACGAUGCAUAGCCGACCUGAGAGGGUGAUAGGCCGCACGGGAACUGAGACACGGUCCAGACUCCUACGGGAGGCAGCAGUAGGGAAUCGUCCGCAAUGGGCGAAAGCCUGACGGAGCAACGCCGCGUGAGUGAUGAAGGUCUUCGGAUCGUAAAACUCUGUUAUUAGGGAAGAACAUAUGUGUAAGUAACUGUGCACAUCUUGACGGUACCUAAUCAGAAAGCCACGGCUAACUACGUG
rnacentral:rRNA from 1 species